CCCCGACACCCCUAGUGACGGCGGAGGAGGAACCCUAGCCAUCGUCUCAGCUUCUUUGUUCGGCCGCUCCAAGCCUCCCAUCCGAUCGUGAUUCUUGAGAAUGGAAAAACUAGAGGAAAAAAGGGGGAGGACAAAAAAAAUUAACGGGCGUCACUGAAAUAGGGGAAGAGAGGGAGGCGGUGGUGCCUAGCAGGAGAAGCCAAAAAGAAGAUGGGAAAUUUUGAGGUUAUUUGUAAAAUUUCAACCAGAGCAGAGGGAAGCGUAAGAGAGGAGAUUGGAUUUCUCACUUGUUUCUGACAAAGAUCCACCAUAACACUGUCGCCGCAGGAACCGCAAUCUAAUAUGGUCUCGGGAGAAGGCUCCAAUUUGUCUGCAAACAAACAUCUAUCCUUCUUGGUUAUGGUCUAUAGAAUCAUCGCUUGCUUUUUGACUGGACUCUUGUAAUAAUGGUACAUAUUUUGGUUUCAUAGUCAUUUGGACUUCUUCUCGGG